CCUACGGGGGGCUGCAGUAGGGAAUAUUGCUCAAUGGGGGAAACCCUGAAGCAGCAACGCCGCGUGGAGGAUGAAGGUUUUCGGAGUGUAAACUCCUUUUGUUAGAGAAGAUAAUGACGGUAUCUAACGAAUAAGCACCGGCUAACUCCGUGCCAGCAGCCGCGGUAAUACGGAGGGUGCAAGCGUUACUCGGAAUCACUGGGCGUAAAGAGCGCGUAGGCGGGGUAGCAAGUCAGAUGUGAAAUCCUGUGGCUUAACCCUAGAACUGCAUUUGAAACUGUUAUUCUAGAGUAUGGGAGAGGUAGGUGGAAUUCUUGGUGUAGGGGUAAAAUCCGUAGAGAUCAAGAGGAACACUCAUUGCGAAGGCGACCUGCUAGAAUAUAACUGACGUUGAGGCACGAAAGCGUGGGGAGCAAACAGGAUUAGAUACCCGAGUAGUC
rnacentral:rRNA from 1 species